rnacentral:rRNA from 1 species
GGAGCCAGCGGUCGAAGGUGGGAUUGGUGAUUGGGGUGAAGUCGUAACAAGGUAGCCGUAGGAGAACCUGCGGCUGGAUCACCUCCUUUCUAGGGAGA